rnacentral:rRNA from 1 species
CCCUUAGAUGUUCUGGGCCGCACGCGCGCUACACCGAUGCAUUCAACGAGCCUAUCCUUGACCGACAGGUCCGGGUAAUCUUUGAAUCUGCAUCGUGACGGGGAUAGAUUAUUGCAAUUAUUAAUCUUCAACGAGGAAUGCCUAGUAGGCGCAAGUCAUCAGCUUGCGUCGAUUACGUCCCUGCCCUUUGUACACACCGCCCGUCGCUCCUACCGAUUGGGUGUGCUGGUGAAAUGUUCGGAUCGGCCGUUUGUCGCGGUUUCCGCGUCAUGUGGCUGAGAAGUUCAUUAAACCCUCCCACCUAGAGGAAGGAGAAGUCGUAACA